GUAACGGCGAGUGAAGCGGUAACAGCUCAAAUUUGAAAUCUGGCUCUUUCAGGGUCCGAGUUGUAAUUUGUAGAAGAUGCUUCGGGUGUGGCUCCGGUCUAAGUUCCUUGGAACAGGACGUCAUAGAGGGUGAGAAUCCCGUAUGUGACUGGUUGCCUUCGCCCAUGUGAAGCUCUUUCGACGAGUCGAGUUGUUUGGGAAUGCAGCUCUAAAUGGGUGGUAAAUUUCAUCUAAAGCUAAAUAUUGGCCAGAGACCGAUAGCGCACAAGUAGAGUGAUCGAAAGAUGAAAAGCACUUUGGAAAGAGAGUUAAACAGUACGUGAAAUUGUUGAAAGGGAAGCGCUUGCAACCAGACUUGCACGCCGUCGAUCAUCUCAGGUUCUCCUGGGUGCACUCGGCGAUGUUCAGGCCAGCAUCGGUUUCGGUGGUUGGAUAAAGGCCUUGGGAAUGUGGCUCCUUUCGGGGAGUGUUAUAGCCCUCGGUGCAAUGCAGCCUACUGGGACCGAGGACCGCGCUUCGGCUAGGAUGCUGGCGUAAUGGUUG
rnacentral:rRNA from 1 species